rfam:Fomitopsis pinicola FP-58527 SS1 unplaced genomic scaffold FOMPIscaffold_99, whole genome shotgun sequence.
GGCCGGCUAGCUCAGUUGGUUAGAGCGUGGUGCUAAUAGGCGGCUUACGUAAUACGUGAGUCACUGUUACGCCAAGGUCGUCGGUUCGAUCCCGGCGUUGGCCA